GCUGGGUGUGGUGGCUCACGCCUGUAAUCCCAGCACUUGGGAAGCUGAGGCAGGAGGAUCACUUGAGCCCAGGAAUUCGAGACCGGCCUGGGUAACAUAGUGAGGCCCAGUCUCUA
rnacentral:SRP_RNA from 1 species